rnacentral:lncRNA from 1 species
AUCGUAGUUACCUUCCUGAGAGAUGGGUAGCUCCGUAAUUACACGUGGAUAGCUGGAGCCGAACGUUUAGACGGGCAGAGAAGCAAGCGACGGGCAGAAGCCCUCUUUUCUCUGGAAGCAGCGGCGAAACUCGAUCCAAAACCAAACCUCCUUCUUCUUCCACUCCUCCAUCCGGAGAAGGAGAGACCAUAUCUUUUCCCUCGAAUUCGAAAUCCUCCUCUAGUCUUUCUUUGUCGCAUCCGAUUUCGUUCAUAUUCGCCUCUCCGUCUCCUUCGAGGUCGGAACUGCCGAUUUCUAGGGCUUCUUCCAACACACACCCACACACACACACACACACACACACACACACACACACACACACACACAGAGAGAGAGAGAGAGAGAGAGAG